rnacentral:lncRNA from 1 species
UUUGCUAUUUUUGGCAUGGGCACUUAGGUUAGAAAAGGAGACUUCCAUUCAUCAUUGCAACACACUAUUAACAUCAACAUCUUCCAUAUUCUUUCUUUAAGUGUUCUUUCCCUAUUCAUGGCUUGCUAAACACUUAGUUUCACAAAAUAAGGCAAUCACUUGCUAAAAUGAGAACAACUAGGAGAUUGACUUGAAAAUGUUUAGAUGAUUUUAACUUGAGGUGAAUAGGAAAGCCACUACGGGAACUCGCAAGGAGUAGCCGUAGAUAGCCCCCUACAUUCAGUUGUUUACUCUUUGCAUUGUGAAAUGGCCGUGGAUAGCCCCCUACAUUCAGCUGUUUACUCUUCGCAUUGUGAAAUGGUCAUGGAUAGCCUCCAUUGAUUGGUCUUUCUUACCCUUCUCUUUACUGUUAAAUUAUUGUUUUAUAUCUUGAGAGACAAGAUUGCAUCUCGUCUUUAUAUUUUCAGUUUAAUAUGACAUGACUUAUUUUUGUUAAUACAAAAUGGAUAUGAAUCUUGAUUUGAGUUCAUUGUGCAAAUGAUUAUUUCAUUCAUUUAGGUUUAAUUAAUGUUUAUACUUGUUAAUGUAUGACCAACAUUUGUAGGUAAUUGAAUUAAAUAUUUAAUCUGGGAAGAGGUAAUAGGUAAUAGGUAAUAGGUAAUAGACGUAAAACUUAAGUGGUGCAUAUUAUGUCAAUUUCAAAAGAUAAUUGUUGUAUGCAUAAACUGUGUAAAUGUCUGGGAGGGUGGUUUCUAAGUUAGUUCUUUGAAACAGGGAUAUGCUAAUUAACUUAGGAACAAAAUAGGACUUUAGGAAGAGCCUAUUUCUUAAUUAAAUGGGUUUAAUGAAUUUUCAUAUUGCCAUGAAUCAUUCGUGAUAUUCUCUUUAUGACUACUAUUGAAUUCUUGUUGAAAUAAAAUAUUUUAUUUUAGUCUAUUCAGGUUAUGUUGUAUUAUUCCUUGUGUUUACUUCCUGCUGUGAUUAUUUUCUGCAAGACAUAUUGUCUUAUUUUGUGGGUGUUUGAAUUCUAAUUACUUUCAUAAUUUAAAUUGCAAAUUUCAUCAACAAUAGUCCUUCUUUAUUUUGUUUUUAAUUAAAUUAAUUAAAAUCAAUUUAAAAUUAAUUUUGCAAAUAAUUCUCUCAACAGUCCUGUGAAAAUGGUACUCUUUACUUACUACUUAUUACUUUUACAAUCAUGUACACUUGCACGUAAUCACCAGACAACAACAUCAUAUGUAUCAAAUUAAAAUAUUCAAUUUUAAACAACAUAAACUUUAAAGCCCAUUUAUAUAAAAUACUUAUAUCUCAUAAUUUAAUCAAUCCUAAAUUUUCACUAAUAUAAAUUAAAGGAAUAAUAAACUUUUUCUUGUUGACGAUUGCAUGGUUUUGCAGCAUCAAAUUGCAUGGCAGAUUGUUGACAAUUGCAUGACAAUUAAAUGGCAGACAUUAAUAUUGACUAACAAUGUAAUAAAUAGGAGGAGCAGGCUUUGCACCGAAAAUUGACUCGAAACAUUGGCAUGAGAUAAUUUCUUUUUUGGUCCUUGAGAUAAUGGGCUAUUUAUAGUUUGGUCCUUGGACUUCAACUAUAAAUGGGUCUUCCCAUUUCUCAUUUCAAUAAUCUCAACUAUUCUUUCUCUUUUAGUUUUCUCUCUUCUCCCAUUUGAGAAUUCUUAAGGAGUUCUAUUUGUUUCUAAUAUUUUGGAGAUAAUGAAGUUAUCAUCUGGUGUUAGUACCCGAGGACGUAGGAAUAAUUUACCGAACCUCGUUAAAAUUCUUGUAUUCUUUCUUGUCUUAUUUUUCUUUCAAUAUUUGAG